UACAGAGGGGGCAAGCGUUAUUCGGAAUUAUUGGGCGUAAAGGGCGCGUAGGCGGCCUGGCAAGUGGAAGGUGAAAUCCCUGGGCUCAACCCAGGAACUGCGUCCGAUACUGGUUGGCUUGAAUCCGGGAGAGGGAUGUGGAAUUCCAGGUGUAGCGGUGAAAUGCGUAGAUAUCUGGAGGAACACCGGUGGCGAAGGCGACAUCCUGGACCGGUAUUGACGCUGAGGCGCGAAAGCUAGGGGAGCAAACGGG
rnacentral:rRNA from 1 species